rnacentral:rRNA from 1 species
GACGAACGCUGGCGGCGUGCUUAACACAUGCAAGUCGAACGGAAAGGCCCUGCUUUUGUGGGGUGCUCGAGUGGCGAACGGGUGAGUAACACGUGAGUAACCUGCCCUUGACUUUGGGAUAACUUCAGGAAACUGGGGCUAAUACCGGAUAGGAGCUCCUGCUGCAUGGUGGGGGUUGGAAAGUUUCGGCGGUUGGGGAUGGACUCGCGGCUUAUCAGCUUGUUGGUGGGGUAGUGGCUUACCAAGGCUUUGACGGGAAGCCGGCCUGAGAGGGUGACCGGCCACAUUGGGACUGAGAUACGGCCCAGACUCCUACGGGAGGCAGCAGUGGGGAAUAUUGCACAAUGGGCGGAAGCCUGAUGCAGCAACGCCGUGUGCGGGAUGACGGCCUUCGGGUUGUAAACCGCUUUCGCCUGUGACGAAGCGUGAGUGACGGUAAUGGGUAAAGAAGCACCGGCUAACUACGUG